UACAGGGGGGGCAAGCGUUGUUCGGAAUUACUGGGCGUAAAGGGCUCGUAGGUGGCCAACUAAGUCGGACGUGAAAUCCCUCAGCUUAACUGGGGAACUGCGUCCGAUACUGGAUGGCUUGAGUUUGGGAGAGGGAUGCGGAAUUCCAGGUGUAGCGGUGAAAUGCGUAGAUAUCUGGAGGAACACCGGUGGCGAAGGCGGCAUCCUGGACCGGCACUGACGCUGAGGAGCGAAAGCCAGGGGAGCAAACGGG
rnacentral:rRNA from 1 species